CCGCUGCUGCAGCCCGCGGUCCCCAGGGCACGGGCACCGCCCAGCCCGCUGCGGAGACCGGGGGACCGUAGCGGCCGCUUACUGAGUGGGGGGGGGGGGGGUCCGUCGGUGAAGCGGGAAAACACGCCCCCCCCCUCGGUGCGGCCGCAGUGGACCGGCCCAGGGAAAAAGGGAACGCGAGGCCCCUCCCGUCACCACGCGCGGCUGCUCGGGUCGCGCAUGCGCGCGGCGGGGGCGGAGCCUGCGGGCCAGGCGGCGGGAGCGGGCCUCGGGCGCUCUGGCCGGGGUCUCGGGGCCUUGGGCACAGAAGAGCGGAGUGUCGGCGCCUGCUGCCCGACGGGACCCGAGGUAACGCCGCAGGCCGGCUUCUCCCCGCCUGGCCCGAGCCCCUCUCCCGCCUGGGCCGUCGGAGCGAGCCCGCCCCGCCCCCGGAGUCCUGACGACCGCGCGCCGCGACGUGCCCCGCCUCUACCGUCCUCCCGGGGCGGGGCCUGUGGUCCGCGCGGCCCGCGCGCUCGGUUCCGGCCGCCCGGGGAGCACCGCAGGGCGUCGGGAGAGCGACGGGAGUGAGCGUGCGUGGAAGUUGGUCCCGAGGAGGAGGAAGCUUUCGGAGCCCCGGUGCCGCCCCGAUGCGACCUGAACGCGCUUCCGAGGCACGGCUGAGUGGGCCCGCGGGGCUGGAGGCGGAGCGGCGUGGGGCCCCGUCCGCCGUCCUGGUCCGGGGUGCUGCGGCGGCGGCCUCGUGCGCGCGACCAGCCAGAAGGACCCAGAGGGGAGAGGAAUAGUUCUUCCUCCCUACGUGGCUAAGUUCAAAACAGUUGUUUUGUUGAUAAUCGACCUUCAGAGAAUAAACAGCUUGUUUAAUGCUAAUUUGAUCCACGCCCCAUCCUCCACCUGUUCUCUGCUCCAGGACCCUGACCUGACUGGAUUAUAUAAAUAAUCUCCCUCGUACUCUGGCUUCCAGUUGAUUUGGUGAAUGGGGAACCCCAGCAGAGAGUUUCAUGGCAUUGGGAUUGGAGCUUGUCUUUCCUCGUGACUUUCCUGGCCAUUUCCCUGGGAAUCCUGUUCUGCCACUGCUGCUGAAGUGCCCAGUGUCUGCCGUCUUCCGUGGAAUCCUUAUUGUGGCUCACAAGAUCUCUUAGAAUGCCCAUGUCUAUUCUGGGACUCUGAGGUGCUUAGCCUUAAUUACUGAGAAGGAAAAUACAUCAGGAGUUGUUUCAGAACUAUUAUCCCCAAUACGUCAUUUUGGUUAAAGUUCUUAUACUUAGUUUUAGAUAUAUAGUCAUGUGCUGCAUAACAACGUUUCAGGCAACGACGGACCACAUACAUGAUGGUGGUCCUAUAAGAUUAGUACCACAGAGCCUGGGUGUGUAGUAGGCUGGACCGUCCAGGUUUGUGGAAGUGCACUCUAUGAUGUUUGCACAAUGAUGAAAUCACCUAACGAUGCAUUUCUCAGAAUGCACCCCCGUCGUUAAUCGAUGCAUAACUGUACCUGUACUGAUUUCUGAUCAAGUAUGAUUUUGCUGAAAAUUAUACUUUUCAUGCAAAAUAUUUCUCCCUUAUACAAUUAAUUGCAGUAUAAAACUGGUAGGGAAAACAUCAAGCAUUUGGAAUUAAAAAGUUU
rnacentral:lncRNA from 1 species